AUGCAAACGGGUCGUUGAAUUCAUCAUAGGAGCUGAAGUUGAAUUGGUUGAGGUAGUUGUGGCACGCGAAGAUACAACCACCGAAGGCUGUGUUGCUGGCUUACUAAGAAAGUUUUUGAACGGGUGCAAAUUAUCCCGUGUAAUUGGACCUCUCCUCGGCAACAUUGAGCAACUUACUCCUCCAUCAGGCUCACCCUUUUGAAUUUUAAUUUUCUUUGAAUCAUCAAUUGAAGCUUCAUGUUGGUUGCCUUCAACAUAUUCCAUUCAUGUGAAUCCAAGUGAACUCAUAUAAGCAGACGAACUCUCCAACUCAAUGGCCUUUUCAUCAUCGGCCCCUUGAGGAACUUUGGUGUGAACAUUUGCAUCUUGAGAAGGGUUAACAACAAUGCUAGCUUCAGAAUCAUCAUUUCAAGAAGAGUGCGUCUUGGCCUAAUGAUAUUGGAUUGUCUUGUAGCGAGAGGACGGUGGCGCUUCAAGGCGGCCUGAAAGUUGCGGACGAAGUUGGGGGAAGAAGGAUCUAGCUUGAUCGGAAGUGACUUUCUUCUGAACAGGUUCACUUCGUUGGAUACGAGGCCAAAGAAAUUCCUCAAUGGCUGCUAAACUAGCUAAUGGAUCAAUCAACACAACAUUGCCUGAAUAAUCCCUAAGUGACUUUUCCCCCUGGGCUCGACAAAGACGUAAUUUGAAGGGAUGGGAUAAAGCACUUAGUCCAGAGGAAAGGCGUGCACUUCCACUGGAUGACUUAGGUGAUUGACUCAGCAAAACAGGGAAACACUCCAUCGAGGACAAAGCAUUUUGAAGCUUUUGAACAAAGACAGUCAUAGGAGUUACAUCUCAUUGUAAAUAACUCAAAUCUUGCAAGUGCUUGUUUGCGAAGCUUAGGCAGGUGGGUUUCUGAGGGUUUGUCUUUAGAAAAAUACCCACAAGAUAAAUAAUUCAGCAAAGUUACGACAACACCGCUACCAAUAAAUUCAAAUGUCGAUACACCGUCUCCUUUGCCAAGUUCUCUUAUCACUUCAGAUAUGACACCAGUUAAACACUCCUCCAGACCAAAUCCAGAAGUUUUUGAUUUCCCCUUACUAUUAGUCCUUUGGUCAUCAACAUCGGCAUUUAACUUCAUGCACAGAUUUCUCAGAUGCAAAAGAUCAUCUGUAACACCCACUUCAACAGCCCCAGGAUCCGAAGGAAAGUACUGAUCUUUAAAAGUUUUUGCAGUUGCGCUAACAGAUAACCGGACACUAGAAUUUAUUGUUGGAAUAUUCGCAGAACUUGGAGGUGAACCAACAUUUACUAAAACAGGACUCUUGAUAUCAUCUAAAGGAUUUCCAUCAGGAUUGGAGUUGCCAGAGCAUCACCGAUUACGCCUAACGCGAGAUGAUGCUCCAGGUAUAAAAUCAGUAUCCUUCUCUAUAGUAGACGCUUGUGUUGAGACAUUGGUUCAAUUUCCAGGAAAAAUAAGUAGGUCCGCUGCAUGGACAACACCUUCUCUGAUAAACAUCUUAGAGAAUGUCUCGGGCAGCUUUUCCAUUAGAAUUUCAGCAAUUCAAUUUUCAAAUCAGAUGACCCUCUGCUGUCAACAUCACCAUACUGGGCUACUACAGAAAGAAGCUCCUCAUGAGACAAGACAACUGUUAUUAUAUGAGAGCUUGAUGUCCAAAUGGUUCCUGUUCUUCUAGGACGACCAUCAUUCAAGGAAUUCAGUAGAGCUUCCUCCUUGGUAAUAUUGUUUCCAUAAACGCCGAUUCAACAUAGUGCAGUUCAAGGGCUUUGGUUGUGUUUGAUGCAAUGACCAUGUCGGAUAAUCCUUGGAUAACUGAGAUCAACUAAAAAAUUUGGGGAAUGGAACUGUCGAGAAUUGUCACUCAACAAAGGCAUAAGUUUUGAAUAUGGUGAUGCAUCUGGAACUGAUUUUGGCAGAAAGGAUGUUGUAUCAAUCCCUGGCCAGCAUGGGUAAGGAUUUGGUAAGGACCUUUGUCGCUCAAGUUCCAUCCUCUGAGCCAGAAAGUAGGGGUUGUUUAUACCAUCAACUCCAGAUGGGCCCAAAUUACCAGAACUGCUUCCAAUAAAUCCUUGUAUUCCUUAUGAUAACGUGACGCUUUCAAGUGGGGGACUACUCUUGCUACCAGCCAUGAGUGACUCUAAAAACCUAUUUUCAGCUUCAUUGGCAGAAUCCAUUCUAUGCAGGGAAUUAUUUCUCAACCUCUCGACCUCACUUGGUCCAGUAUGAAUACUCACAAAGGUACUGGUACUUUGCGGAACAGGUGCCUCUGUAGUGUCAAGUUUUGUUUCCGGGAAACCAGGUGGUGGUCGGGCUUCUUGUGUUGACCCAAUGUGUCUUCAGUACACAAGGACCUGGCUGCGCAACUUGGUGAUUUUAACGACCCGGCUGCAUACGGGAAUUACUUGGGAAACUGUAAUGAAUGGAGCCAGAAAGUAGUCCCUUCUUUGUCUAGUAACCGUGGUAGCUCUUGAAUAUAUUAUGUUUUUUUUUCAAUACUUCAUCCUAAGCUCCAAUGUAUAUACAUAGAGAGAAAGAGAAAAAGCAGGGAUUAUGAUCCUUGGGGUUUUGGAGUGAGUUUGAUUUGGUCCAAACCCCAUUCUUUUUUUUUGUAAGUUUGUAAGAUAUAUGACUUGUAAUAAUUUUAAUAUUUGAUGUGAAUGAAAAAUGGGUGGCCUUGUGACAAAACAAAAUUGUUC